AGCAGUAGCCGCGGGAAUACAGAGGGCGCGAGCGUUAAUCGGAUUUACUGGGCGUAAAGCGUGCGUAGGCGGCUUCUUAAGUCGGAUGUGAAAUCCCUGAGCUUAACUUAGGAAUUGCAUUCGAUACUGGGAAGCUAGAGUAUGGGAGAGGAUGGUAGAAUUCCAGGUGUAGCGGUGAAAUGCGUAGAGAUCUGGAGGAAUACCGAUGGCGAAGGCAGCCAUCUGGCCUAAUACUGACGCUGAGGUACGAAAGCAUGGGGAGCAAACAGGAUUAGAUACCCGCGUAGUCCCUGUCUCUUAUAC
rnacentral:rRNA from 1 species